rnacentral:rRNA from 1 species
UACGAAGGGGGCUAGCGUUGUUCGGAAUUACUGGGCGUAAAGCGCACGUAGGCGGACAUUUAAGUCAGGGGGUGAAAUCCCGGGGCUCAACCCCGGAACUGCCUUUGAUACUGGGUGUCUUGAGUGUGGUAGAGGUGAGUGGAAUUGCGAGUGUAGAGGUGAAAUUCGUAGAUAUUCGCAGGAACACCAGUGGCGAAGGCGGCUCACUGGACCACAACUGACGCUGAGGUGCGAAAGCGUGGGAAGCAAACAGG